GCUUUCACAAAGUGAAUCAGGAGGAUAGUCUGAGUAAUAUUUUUAGCGAUUAAAAACUUAAAUUGUGCUCUGUACCUCACACCAAACUAUUGUAUUUCACCUGCGGUGGCAACGCAGCAUCAUUUGGACUACUUUUGACCUGGCCAUGUACCCUGCCCUCUUCAUACAGGUUGUCAUGAUGUCAUUACAGAAGGCAGCCGAAGAACAACUUGGGACACCUCCUGAAAAGACAGUGACUCACACGCACACACACACACACACACACACACACACACACACACACACUAAAUAUAUAAUUAAUAUAAAUCAAUAUGUUCUUGUUACUGUUUCCCAUUAUUUGGACACAUUUUGAUGCUUUACUGUGGAAAUUAUCAUAUCAAUAAAGCCAAUUUGAAAAUAAUUGAAUUG